CACAAAGCGGUUCUUCGCGCAAGCACAAAAACAAGGCAUUGAAUCGUGGUAGACAGUGCAUCAAUAUAAUUUGUUUCUAUUUCUUAGUGUGAUUGCCAAUUUGGUGUAUAAUAGCACUGAGGUCUUUGCCCAGACAGUUGUUAUUUUGAAAAUGAGGUGGAGACUGGUGAACGAGUAAAUAUGGCUAGUCACCAGAGCUAAAAUAAUUCCGUAAGGAGAUUGCAAGAUAAAUGUUGUGGAUGUCUAUACGUCUUUAGAAAACAUGAAUGUACAAGAGAUUCAGGAUGCUCCACGGAAAUUAAGUAUUAACUCUAAUAUGAGUGAUGACGAUAUUUCAGAAGAUAGAGUGGAAGCUUGGCUUGAUAAUCACGAGGAAUUUGUUGCCUCAUAUUUUUCGCGUAAAGCUAAUAAGUUUUUACUAGAUACAUUAAUGCGUUCUAAAACACGUCCAAGUCGUACAUCUUCUCCUUCACCUUAUUUUUCUUCUGGGUCGUCAGAACCUAUGAUGAGAAAUCCAUCACCUUUACUUGCAAGCAGUACACCACCUGGUUGCAGCACACCAGUUCGUAAAAUAUCAUCUUCAGACUUCAUCGACAGAGGACUGUUGAAGCCUAUUUUAAGCCACUAUGACGGCAUACCAAGCUUUCUCACAUUUGAAAGGUCGUUAUCAAGACCUUCAAGACAUCGCAAGUCGAAAGAAGAAUUGCAGGAAUUAAAGGUUCUAGAUGAACAUGCUCUUUUAGUGGAGCUUGUCAGAGAUAUUGCAAAUGACUUAGAAAUCACAAGUUUAUGUCAUAAAAUUCUUCAAAAUGUUAGUAUACUUACUGAUGGUGACCGUUGCUCUUUAUUCUUAGUUCAAGAUUAUGGCCCACAUGGGCAACGAAUGUUAGUUUCUAAGGUAUAUGACGUCAAUGCUGAUUCUAAUGUUGAAGAGGUCCAAGCUAAAGAGGAAAUAAGCGUACCAAUUGGUACUGGCAUUAUUGGGUAUGUUGCUGAGCAUGGAGAAACUGUUAACAUUCCAGAUGCCUAUGCAGAUCCUCGGUUUAAUCAGGAUGUUGAUAAAAAAACCGGCUAUCAUACCAGAAGUAUCCUGUGCAUGCCAGUUAAAGCUGCAUCUGACGAGGAUGGAAAUAGUGAGGUAAUUGCUGUGGCACAAGUUAUAAAUAAAAGUGGAACUCAGAGCAAGGGCCAUGUAUUUACAGAGGAGGAUGAAAAGAUUUUUGAAAAAUAUCUCACUUUUUGUGGCAUUGGAAUCACUAAUGCACAGUUGUUUGAACAAUUUAACAUAGAACUUAAACGCAAUCAGGUGUUGCUAGACCUUGCACGUGUUAUAUUUGAGGAACAAAGCACCUUACAUGAUGUUGUUCAUAAAAUUAUGAUGAAUACUCAAACACUUUUGCAAUGUGAACGCUGCUCUGUUCUUUUAGUAGAUCCAACAUCAAAAGGUUUAUUUUCUCAAGCUUUUGAUCUUGAAGCAAGAGACUAUGUUGAUGAAAAUGGAACUGUUGGUAGAAAGCAGUCAUGUGGUACAUCCGAAGUGAGGUUCCCUAUUAAUAUUGGUAUAACAGGAUAUGUAGCCACAACUGGAGAGACCUUGAAUAUACCAGAUGCAUACAAUGAUCCAAGGUUUGAUCCUUCGGUUGAUGGUGGGUCGGGAUUUAAGACAAAAACAAUUUUAUGUAUGCCUAUUAAAAAUAGCAAAGGCGAUAUUAUAGGUGUUGUGCAGUUGUUAAAUAAAAUGGAUGGCAAACCAUUUAAUCAAAAUGACGAAAAUUUAUUUGAGGCGUUUGCGAUUUUCUGUGGCAUUGCUAUACAUAACACAUAUAUAUAUGAAGAAUGUGUGAAAGCUAUGGCAAGGCAAAAAAUCGCACUCGAUGUGCUUUCAUACCAUGCAGCUGCUUCCCAAAAUGAAGGGGUUAAUUUACAGAAAGAAAUAGUUCCCUCCUCAAAGACUUUCCGUUUAAGAGAGUUUUCGUUUGAUGAUGCAACUCUAUCAGAUAGAGAGACAUGUUUAGCAACCUUGAGAAUGUUUCAAGAUUUACGCUUAAUUAUAAGAUUCAGAAUUGAUUAUCAGGUAUUAUGUAAUUGGAUACUUACAGUAAAAAAGAAUUACAGAAAAGUAAUAUAUCAUAACUGGAGGCAUGCAUUUAAUGUGGCACAAAUGAUGUUUCUUAUGCUAAAGGAAUUGCCUGAUUUCAAAGUAAAUUUUACAGACGAAGAAAAAUUAGCGCUUUUAGUUGGUUGCUUGUGUCAUGAUUUGGAUCAUAGAGGAACUAAUAACACUUUUCAAGUUAAGAGUGCAUCCCCACUGGCACAGUUAUAUGGGACAUCAGUAAUGGAACACCAUCAUUUUGAUCACUGUAUUAUGAUUAUACAUAGCUCUGGAAAUGAAAUUUUUAACACCUUGUCAUCAGAUGAGUAUAAUGUUGUUAUCAAUAUUUUGGAGCACGCAAUUUUGUCGACAGAUUUAGCCCUAUAUUUUAAGAAACGCAGUGAAUACUUUGAAAUGGUGAAUCAAAAGACGUAUAAUUGGGAAGAUAUAAAUAAACGUUCGCUGUUGAGGUCAAUGUUAAUGACGUCGUGUGACAUAUCUGCAAUUUGCAAACCGUGGCCUGUGCAACAAAGAGUUGCACACCUUGUAGCUGAAGAAUUCUUUCAACAGGGUGACUUGGAACAAAAAGAACUUCACCAAACACCGAUUGAAAUGAUGGAUCGUGCGAAAAAGGAUAAGCUACCUAAGAUGCAAGUUGGUUUUAUUGAUAACAUCUGUUUGCCAGUAUAUCAACAUUUAGCUGAACAGUACUCAUAUUUCCAACCCUUGGUAAAAGAGUGUAUAAACAAUAGACACCACUGGACUAAAUUGUUUGAACAACAAGAGAAAUUGAAAGCAGAGCACGCGUCAAAUAACAACAAUGAAAACAAUAAAAACAAGGUCAUUGAAGCAAGGAGACCGAUUGUUAAAAGUUAGUUCAAAAAAUAUCCACAGAAGGUAGCAAUUAACAGCAACUAACCAUCAUACUCAGCAAUCCAAUUUUCGUCAAAUUACACAAAAGGUAACGGUGAAAGCUGGAGGGAUGUUUUUUAAUAUUGUUGCUUAUAUGUUUACAUGUAAAUGUCUUCACUAACUUAUUUGAGUGUGUCUGUUGUAUAUGUGUGUCGAUUUUCUGUGUAAGUUCCUUUCCACACGAGCUCACUCCUUGCCUUUAUUGUAAAGAGACUGCAGGAGAAAUAUAAGUUGUAGUGUGGGUAUUUAAUAGGAACGAUUAUUGUUUAUGACAUUAUUUUAGGCUCGCUUUAAUUGAAAUAUAGAGAUGGGUUUUUUCUUUCCCUUUUUUUUGGAUGAGAUUUUCUACCACAAAGUCCACGAUUGUACUUCUUCCUUUUUUGACCGUGAGUUUAAAACUCACUUUAACUAACGAGUAUGCGAGUUGUAUGUGCCACCUAGAAUUUAUUUUAUGCAGCAAUUGUUUUUGAUUAGAGUGAUUUCACUUGCACGUUUCUUGAUGAUGUAGAGGUUUGAGGAAAUUUUGAUUGCACAUUCCGACAAAUAUUUUUAUUAUUGUUCUUGUUGAUCUUCACUGCACGAUUGCUGCAAAGGGGUUGAACUGUUCCUGUCGUGUGUUCCGGUUAGUAUUUUUAUUUAACGGAAAUGACCGGUAAAGCGUCCUGUUUGGUAUUUGCAUUUCUUGUCUGUAAUCUAGACGUUUAUUUAAGCUUACUUGGUUGAAAGAGAAAACCCUAAUGAAAUAGA